UACGAAGGGGGCUAGCGUUGCUCGGAAUUACUGGGCGUAAAGGGCGCGUAGGCGGUUCUAUAAGUCAGGCGUGAAAUUCCUGGGCUUAACCUGGGGGCUGCGCUUGAGACUGUGGGACUUGAGGUCAGAAGAGGGUCGUGGAAUUCCCAGUGUAGAGGUGAAAUUCGUAGAUAUUCGCAAGAACACCAGUGGCGAAGGCGGCUCACUGGCCCGAUACUGACGCUGAGGCACGAAAGCGUGGGGAGCAAACAGG
rnacentral:rRNA from 1 species